rnacentral:misc_RNA from 1 species
UUUAACGUUAGGCCCAGGCUCAGAACAGUAGGCAGGUGACAUGGUCUGGUGGUGCCCCGGCGGGCGCCGCCGGCGGCGGCCGCGGACCCCGCCCUGGGGCCGCCCGCCGAGGCAACUCCGAGUAGCGUCCACAGUGGUCGGCGGUUGUACCGUCCGUAAUGAUCCCUCCGCUGGUUCACCAACGGAGA